rnacentral:rRNA from 1 species
UACGAGGGGGGCAAGCGUUGUUCGGAAUUAUUGGGCGUAAAGGGCGCGUAGGCGGUCUGAUAAGUCUUGUGUGAAAUCUCUGGGCUCAACCCAGAGUCUGCACAGGAAACUGUCGGGCUUGAGUAUGGGAGAGGUGCGUGGAAUUUCCGGUGUAGCGGUGAAAUGCGUAGAUAUCAGGAAGAACACCCGUGGCGGAAGGCGGCUCUCUGGGACGGUACUGGACGCUGAGACGCGAAAAGCGUGGGGAGCGAACAGG